CAGUCGAGCGGAAGAUGGGAGCUUGCUCCCUGAAGUCAGCGGCGGACGGGUGAGUAACACGUGGGCAACCUGCCUGUAAGACUGGGAUAACUUCGGGAAACCGGAGCUAAUACCGGAUAAUGCUUUUGGACUCAUGUCCUUAAGCUGAAAGAUGGUUUCGGCUAUCACUUACAGAUGGGCCCGCGGCGCAUUAGCUAGUUGGUGAGGUAACGGCUCACCAAGGCAACGAUGCGUAGCCGACCUGAGAGGGUGAUCGGCCACACUGGGACUGAGACACGGCCCAGACUCCUACGGGAGGCAGCAGUAGGGAAUCUUCCGCAAUGGACGAAAGUCUGACGGAGCAACGCCGCGUGAGUGAUGAAGGUUUUCGGAUCGUAAAACUCUGUUGUUAGGGAAGAACAAGUAUCGGAGUAACUGCCGGUACCUUGACGGUACCUAACCAGAAAGCCACGGCUAACUACGUGCCAGCAGCCGCGGUAAUACGUAGGUGGCAAGCGUUGUCCGGAAUUAUUGGGCGUAAAGCGCGCGCAGGCGGUCCUUUAAGUCUGAUGUGAAAGCCCACGGCUCAACCGUGGAGGGUCAUUGGAAA
rnacentral:rRNA from 4 species